rnacentral:rRNA from 1 species
UUGCAGUCUGCAACUCGAGUGCAUGAAGCUGGAAUCGCUAGUAAUCGCGAAUCAGAAUGUCGCGGUGAAUACGUUCCCGGGUCUUGUACACACCGCCCGUCACACCAUGGGAGUCGGGAAUGCCCGAAGCCGGUGACCCAACCUUAAGGAGGGAGCCGUCGAAGGCAGGCCUGGUAACUGGGGUGAAGUCGUAACAAGGUACC